rnacentral:rRNA from 1 species
UAUCGGAACGUGUCCUGUAGCGGGGGAUAACCUAUCGAAAGAUGGACUAAUACCGCAUACGCUCUACGGAGGAAAGCGGGGGUUCUUGGGCAACUGAGGACCUCGCACUAUAGGAGCGGCCGAUAUCGGAUUAGCUAGUUGGCGGGGUAACGGCCCACCAAGGCGACGAUCGGUAGCUGGUCUGAGAGGAUGAUCAGCCACACUGGGACUGAGACACGGCCCAG